AGAGUUUGAUCUUGGCUCAGGAUGAACGCUGGCGGCGUGCCUAAUACAUGCAAGUCGAACGAACUUCCGUUAAUUGAUUAUGAGGUGCUUGCACUGAAUGAGAUUUUAACACGAAGUGAGUGGCGGACGGGUGAGUAACACGUGGGUAACCUGCCCAGAAGCAGGGGAUAACACCUGGAAACAGAUGCUAAUACCGUAUAACAGAGAAAACCGCCUGGUUUUCUUUUAAAAGAUGGCUCUGCUAUCACUUCUGGAUGGACCCGCGGCGCAUUAGCUAGUUGGUGAGGUAACGGCUCACCAAGGCGAUGAUGCGUAGCCGACCUGAGAGGGUAAUCGGCCACAUUGGGACUGAGACACGGCCCAGACUCCUACGGGAGGCAGCAGUAGGGAAUCUUCCACAAUGGACGCAAGUCUGAUGGAGCAACGCCGCGUGAGUGAAGAAGGGUUUCGGCUCGUAAAGCUCUGUUGUUAAAGAAGAACGUGGGUGAGAGUAACUGUUCACCCAGUGACGGUAUUUAACCAGAAAGCCACGGCUAACUACGUGCCAGCAGCCGCGGUAAUACGUAGGUGGCAAGCGUUAUCCGGAUUUAUUGGGCGUAAAGCGAGCGCAGGCGGUCUUUUAAGUCUAAUGUGAAAGCCUUCGGCUCAACCGAAGAAGUGCAUUGGAAACUGGGAGACUUGAGUGCAGAAGAGGACAGUGGAACUCCAUGUGUAGCGGUGAAAUGCGUAGAUAUAUGGAAGAACACCAGUGGCGAAGGCGGCUGUCUGGUCUGUAACUGACGCUGAGGCUCGAAAGCAUGGGUAGCGAACAGGAUUAGAUACCCUGGUAGUCCAUGCCGUAAACGAUGAUUACUAAGUGUUGGAGGGUUUCCGCCCUUCAGUGCUGCAGCUAACGCAUUAAGUAAUCCGCCUGGGGAGUACGACCGCAAGGUUGAAACUCAAAAGAAUUGACGGGGGCCCGCACAAGCGGUGGAGCAUGUGGUUUAAUUCGAAGCUACGCGAAGAACCUUACCAGGUCUUGACAUCUUCUGCCAACCUAAGAGAUUAGGCGUUCCCUUCGGGGACAGAAUGACAGGUGGUGCAUGGUUGUCGUCAGCUCGUGUCGUGAGAUGUUGGGUUAAGUCCCGCAACGAGCGCAACCCUUAUUACUAGUUGCCAGCAU
rnacentral:rRNA from 1 species